GGUGCGAUGGCCGAGUGGUCUAAGGCGCUGUGUUUAGGAGAGAUUUAUCUCUCUCAGAACCGCAGUCUUCACGGGCGUGAGUUCGAAUCUCACUCGCAUCA